rnacentral:rRNA from 1 species
AGGGGGACGAACAGUUGGAAACGACUGCUAAUACCGCAUACGAUCCGAUCUCGGCAUCGAGACUGGAUGAAAGGUGGCCUCUAUUUAUAAGCUAUCACUGAAGGAGGGGAUUGCGUCUGAUUAGCUAGUUGGAGGGGCAACGGCCCACCAAGGCGAUGAUCAGUAGCCGGUCUGAGAGGAUGAACGGCCACAUUGGGACUGAGACACGGCCCAGACUCCUACGGGAGGCAGCAUG